GUCAUUAGGCAGACUGAACACAACAUAGCCUUGAUUGAACCUGGACUCAUGGUUGACCCUCAUUUCAUGGAUAGAACCACUCUCUAUGGGAGAAGUGGAGAUAUGUCAAGGAGAUUAUAGAUGGAAGGAACCUGAGAGGCCACUUCCUGAGAGGACAUAGUGAUCACUCUGCAGUCAAGAGCCAGACUAAAGUGAGAUUGGCAAAUGGACUUGAGAUGAAGAAUAACAGCAGCAGCAGCAGCAGCAGCAGCAGCAGAUGUUAUCCUAAUGGAAAACUGGAGGCUCCUCAGCCCUGGGCUGUCCCUCCUGUGCUGGCGUGUGUGCCUCUCCCCUCAUGGUCUGCCUUGCUGACACCGCUUUGGCACCUGGAGUCAUCUAGCUCUGCCAAUCAGAUGCAACCCUAAGGAAACUGAUUUGGAACAUUAAUUCUGUGAGGAAAGAUCCAGGACACUCAACUGUCUCCUUGGCAUCCCUGCAGGACUGUGGAGCCAAUCCCUGAACCUGGUCUCUUUCUCAAUCUGCUUCUUCUUCACCCACCACGGUGUGAACGAGCCAUGCUGUAAGCUCCCUUAGCUAUGGAUCAAGCCACUCCAACUGCCAUGACCUCACCAUAUGUGGUUAUCACUUGGUUAUACUGCCUUGUGACAGAGGCAUCAUUCAUCAUUUAAAAG
rnacentral:lncRNA from 1 species